rnacentral:lncRNA from 1 species
UGCUGGGCCCCCUGGCAGGGUGAGAGUGUGUCCCUCAGAGUCUGCUGGGUGCCUCAGUCUUUGCAUAUGAGCCAAUGCGGAUCUGUCACACAUACACCCCAAAGCCACUGUCCUUGGCGUGGUACCCUUUUCAGCUCUGACAAACACAGAUGAACUCAAAGAAGCCAAACUGAACCAUAAAAGAGGAGCUUGCCUUCAUCUUCUGCUGGAGUCCCAAAUCAGGGGGAAACCCCCACCUUCAACACCUGAUGAAAGUCCAAGGCUGGGGUAGAAGAGCCCACAUCCCUCCCCAGCUCCUGUUCUGACUGAAGAUCCCCACCCCCCAAUGCCGCCACCAAUGAGUCAUCUGUAGGUUGUCUGCCACCCCUUGCUACCUCCUCAGGACCCUGUUUGUCCAGAACCAUUCGCUGGAAGCCUGCCAAGAGGAGAUAGGACUCUGGACAUCGGCUGGGGAUAACAUGAGAUGGGGCCCCAGCCAGGAUGGCUGCUGGCACAGGCUGCCAAGUGCCUCUUCACUAGACAGUAAGUGACCACACGGUUGGUUUCUGUUUAAGGUUGUUCAUGGCCUGGCUGUUACAGAACAGACCUAACAAGUGAGUUUGAGGCUCAGGUUUUAUUUAUUUUUCUUUCUUUAAUUAAGACCGUGUGGGACUCAUUUGGAAGAAGUGAUGAUUCCCUGUGUUGUUCUUUUCUGUAACCAUUUAUUUGGAUGGCUGCUUAGACGUCACUGGCCUUCUGCCUUUGGGAUUCUGGUUUGUCUGCUCAGUCUGCUUGCCCCAUGGAUUUCCCUUCCACAGUCAGAUGCUCCAGGCUCUACCCUGACCCUCUUUCCCUUCCUCCCCAGUCCAAGGCCAGCCUCAAGUGGAUGGCCCGGGUGGAAAGGAGAUGUGAGUGACUGGGCAGAGAGGCCUGAGCCAGGAGAGUCAUAAAGUAUAUAUAAAAUAAAUCUU